GAGAGACAUUGAGUCUCAAAAAAUCACCUAGAACAAGAGAAAAGGCAAGAGCCCUCCCAACCUGCGGUGGUGAGCUUGAACUGGGCAGUUGCGUUAACUUGGAGUGGAACAUAAUCGUAUCAUUGCAUGCGUAUGAAAUCGCAUAUAAUUGCCUAAUGUUCUUGUUCACAGGCGUUCAUACAUGACACAUAACAUGCACUUAUAUUUGUAAUAGCUUCUGGCAAUUGAGCCAUCUCCAAAAUCAAAAUACAGCCAAUAAAGAAGAAGCUUACAAAUUUCUUUUCCAUCUAUCUAUUUGAG
rnacentral:misc_RNA from 1 species